rnacentral:rRNA from 1 species
CGGGUGAGUAACGCGUGGGUAACCUGCCGUCAUACAGGGGGAUAACGAGUUAGAAAUGACUGCUAAUACCGCAUAAGCGCACGGUCUCGCAUGGGACAGUGUGAAAAACUCCGGUGGUAAUGAGAUGGACCCGCGUCUGAUUAGCUGGUUGGUGAGGUAAGGGGCUCACCAAGGCGACGAUCAGUAGCCGGCCUGAGAGGGUGAACGGCCACAUUGGGACUGAGACACGGCCCAAACUCCUACGGGAGGCAGCAG